rnacentral:rRNA from 1 species
ACAUGCCUACAACAUGGCAUUAAUGCACCAUAUCCGAUUAGAACUCUACAGUUAAGCACGCUCGGGCUAGAGUAGUACUGGGAUGGUUAACUACCUGAGAAGUCCUAGUAUUUUACAUGCA